UAAAAGAAUUUUAUGAAAAUGAACAUUUGGAAAUAUAUGAUGAUUUCGAUUGUUGGCCUGAGUUAGAUUCAACAUUUGUUAUGUAUUACAUAUUUAACUGUGAAUUUGAAACAAUGCCUGAAUUUGAGGUGGUAGAAGAGUCAUCCUAAAUUUAAAAUAAUCUAAAAAUUAAAUAAUUAAUAAUUAUCAAAAUCUUGGAUUAUGUUCUUAUUAACUUUAAUAAAUUUAUUAAAUAAAUGUAUUGCUUAAAUAAUAUUUAUAUGAAAAUAUUGUCAUCGUAAUACUCACAUACUCAUAUAUAAGCAAAAUAAUAAAAUAUAUUUUAGUUUUAGAAUUUA